UACGAAGGGGGCUAGCGUUGUUCGGAUUUACUGGGCGUAAAGCGCACGUAGGCGGAUCUUUAAGUCAGAGGUGAAAUCCCAAGGCUCAACCUUGGAACUGCCUUUGAUACUGGGGAUCUCGAGUUCGGGAGAGGUGAGUGGAACUGCGAGUGUAGAGGUGAAAUUCGUAGAUAUUCGCAAGAACACCAGUGGCGAAGGCGGCUCACUGGCCCGAUACUGACGCUGAGGUGCGGAAAGCGUGGGGAGCAAACAGGG
rnacentral:rRNA from 1 species